UUAUGGUUAUUUCUUGAUCAUAUGUGAAACAAGGGGUGUAUUAUUCAUGAGUUUUCCAGGAAAAGGGCUGGCAAUUCUGGAACUGAGAGAUCCAUUUCCAUUGAGAGCAUAUAGGGUUACUUCUGGAUGUUGCCAUGGCAUUUGUAAACCAUUGUGUUCCGUCUCGCUCUGUUGCCCAGGCUGGAGUGCAGUGGCACCACCUCGGCUGACUGCAACUUCUGCCUCCCGGGUUCAAGCGAUCCUCCUGCCUCAGCCUCCCUGAGUGGCUGGUACUACAGGCCAGCAGAAGUAUGUUUAUCUGAUUUCUUCCUCUACAACCAACCAGAGAAAACUCUCUACUUUUAAAGAGCUCAACUGAUUCGGUCAGGCUGCGGCAGGAUAAUCUUUCUUUUGCCAAAAAUCAUAGCAUGAAGACUGUGUACAUCAAGGGCCAGGAAUCAUGAAAGACAUCUAAAAAUUCUGCCUACUACAGUGACCGGGGUCAUUUAAG
rnacentral:lncRNA from 1 species